rnacentral:rRNA from 1 species
GAUGAACGCUGGCGGCGUGCCUAAUACAUGCAAGUCGAGCGAACGGACGAGAAGCUUGCUCUUCUGACGUUAGCGGCGGACGGGUGAGUAACACGUGGAUAACCUACCUAUAAGACUUGGAUAACUUCGGGAAACCGGAGCUAAUACCGGAUAAUAUUUUGAACCGCAUGGUUCAAAAGUGAAAGACGGUCUUGCUGUCACUUAUAGAUGGAUCCGCUCUGCAUUAGCUAGUUGGUAAGGUAACGGCUUACCAAGGCAACGAUGCAUAGCCGACCUGAGAGGGUGAUCGGCAACACUGGAACGGAGACACGGUCCAGACUCCUACGGGAGGCAGCAGUAGGGAAUCUUCCGCAAUGGGCGGAAGCCUGACGGAGCAACGCCGCGUGGGUGAUGAAGAUCUUCGGAUCGUAAAACUCUGUUAUUAGGGAAGAACAUAUGUGUAAGUAACUGUGCACAUCUUGACGGUACCUAAUCAGAAAGCCACGGCUAACUACGUG